CGAGACCAGAAGGCCGAGACCAGAGAGCCGAGACCAGAGAGCCGAGACCAGAAGGCCGAGACCAGAAGGCCGAGCCCAUGCCUUAGCCAAAUAUCCAAUUUCCACCUAACCCUCUAAGGGACCUGACAACUCCACUACAACCUGCCGCUAUCUCCAAGCCAUCAAGGCAUAAGAUCUCCGCAGGUAUUCGGCACGACCUGCCAUUAAUGCAUGAGACCCCCUCAAGUCUCCGAUGCAUUCAGUCAUUUAAUGAACACGGCUCAAGGCGAUCUCCGGAUCACUGAACCAUCAAAGCGUAUGGCUCUCCCUGACCGCCGGUUCACUCGGUAAUAAAUGCACUUACCAUCCACGGACCCCAGGCCCACCACGGCCGGCGGUUCAACCACCCCAACAGGUCCAAUCGACCGUGACAACUCCCUGGUUCCGGUCUGAUUCGGCCUUAUUUUCCACCACGCCAUUAAUGGGCCAAAUCGUGCCCAAUUAUUACAAAACAGGACAAACCUCCUGUCACCUCCCAGGUAACAAAAAUCCUCCUAUAAAAGGAAACCUGGGGGGAAAAGGGAGA
rnacentral:lncRNA from 1 species